rnacentral:rRNA from 1 species
UACGUAGGGUGCGAGCGUUGCCCGGAUUUAUUGGGCGUAAAGGGCGCGUAGGCGGCCACGCACGUCCGUUGUGAAAUCGCCCGGCUCAACUGGGCGGGGUCAGCGGAUACGGUGUGGCUCGAGCAAGCUAGGGGGCAAUGGAAUUCCCGGUGUAGUGGUGGAAUGCGUAGAUAUCGGGAGGAACACCAGUGGCGAAGGCGGUUGCCUGGACAAUUGCUGACGCUCAGGCACGAAAGCGUGGGGAGCAAAAGGG